GGUCUGGCCGGACGGUCCGCCUUCUAGGUAAGCACUGUUCCGAUGUUGGGCCUAUCCUUCUGGUGAGUCGGCAUGUCCUUUAUUGGGUGCGUCGGGGAACCAGGACCAUUACCUUGAAAAAAUUAGAGUGUUCAAAGCAGGCGUAUGCUCGAAUACAUUAGCAUGGAAUAAUAAAAUAGGACGCGUGGUGCUAUUUUGUUGGUUUCUAGAACCGCCGUAAUGAUUAAUAGGGAUAGUUGGGC
rnacentral:rRNA from 1 species